GCGCCGGUAGCUCAGUUGGAUAGAGCACAUGCCUUCUAAGCCUGUUGUCAGGGGUUCGAAUCCCUUUCGGCGCG
rnacentral:tRNA from 1 species